ACGGGGUGCAGCAGGCGCGAAAACUGGCCAAUGCGCGAAAGCGUGAGCCGGCUAGUCCGAGCGAUAGCCCAUCGGCUAUCUUUUGUCAAGUGUUUAUAGCUUGGCGAAUAAUGAGAGGGCAAGACUGGUGCCAGCCGCCGCGGUAAAACCAGCUCUUAGAGUGGUGAUCAUGUUUAUUUGGCUUAAAGGGUGCGUAGCAGGACAGCGUAAGUCCCCUGUGAAAUGCUCGGUCUUAAGCCGAGCGCGGGCAGGGGAUACUGUGCGUCUUGGGACCGGGAUAGGUGUAAUGUACGCGUUGGGUAGGGGUGAAAUCCUAUAAUCCAACGCGGACAACCGGUGGCGAAGGCGUUACACUGGAACGGGUCCGACUGUGAGGCACGAAAGCUAGGGUCGCGAGCCGGAUUAGAUACCCGGGUAGUCCUAUGCUGUAAACGAUGCUCACUAAGUGUUAGAUAAUGCAAGACGUUGUCUAGUGCCGAAGCGAAAGCGUUAAGUGAGCCGCCUGGGAAGUACGUUCGCAAGAAUGAAACUUAAAGGAAUUGGCGGG
rnacentral:rRNA from 1 species